rnacentral:lncRNA from 7 species
CUCAUGCAGAGAUAUUCACAGAGGAAGUCAGAACCUGGAUGACUUUGUGACAAAAACACUGCAAAUGUGAGAGUGCUGCUGUGCUGAGAAUGACUUUGAGAAUAAACUGAUUUUGGAUGAUUACCUAUCUUUAAAAUGUUUUUUUGAAAAAUCAGAUUGUAACACUCUAAAGUAUUAAACUUCAGUGCAAACUUAUGGCAAUAUUCAGCGCUACCCACAACAUAGAUCAUAGAAAGCAGUUCCACCUAGUCCAGCAGUCUCCUUUCUCUGAAGGUAGCAUCUUGGAGGAGGGACUAUGUGUAUCUGUGGUUGCAAAGUGCAAGACACGUGGCUUUUCUUUAGUAAUGAAAAUACCAAUGUCCAAAGUUGUUCAUUUAAGAAUGUUUUGGGCCAAGUAAGGAACCUGUAUUCUGUAUUUCAUCAUGGCCCAGAAGAACUGUUGCAGAUGCUGUGCCUCAGAAUUUGUGGGGUCUUACGUUGGCCAUGGCAUGAGAAAGGAGUUGUUCAGGAAAUUAGUCUCUGUGUGUCCAUUUGCAAAAAGCCAUUGCCAAAAUUUAUUUGGGAAAGAUUAUAAGCCAAAAAUGCCUUCAUUAGCAUCAUGCUAUUUUCAUGAUACUGUUAAGGAUUAGGACUUUCUUUAGGGAACAUACAGACCAAAACUGUCAGCGGAAACCAACAGCAGUUCUCACUUCAAGGAAACCUUGACUCAUGAUGCAGGUUUUAUAAAUGACUUCGUCAAUCUCAGAGAUGCUUGAAUUUCAGAUUAUGAAGCCCCUGUGAGUACAGGCCCAUUACUCUGAAUGGAGAGGCCAUAAAAGCAUCAGUACCUCUGACAUAAAACUGAUGUAUUAUGUAAUAAUGUUUCAAGUAGAACUUGGAACUUCAUUUAUCAGCCAUGUCCUUAGUUGGGUAUUGCACAGGUUACAAAUGAAACCCUGAAUGUUUCACUCACAUGACACAUACUAAUAAAAUGCGAUAAUGGGGAGGCUGGGGGAGAUGGAUAAAGGGAUAAUGACUCUUUCAAGCCAACUGAUCCCAAAGACUGGGGGAGGAGGAUGGAUGGGAAUGUCUUCAAUGAUUCUGAACAUCUUCCUACAGAUAGCAAAUUAAGCUGUUUGCUGUGGGAGCUGCCAAAGUAAGUAGGCAGGUUUCUUACCAAACACUCAGCUUGCAUAAUUCAGCUCAUUCUAGCAGCUUGGGCAUUCCACUAGCUGCUGUUCUUGAUCUUUACAUUUCCCUGCAUGUAAAUCAAAAUUACAGCUGGGAAAGCAAGGAGAAAAAACCUAACAAAAUGCACCUGUGGAAAGAGGAUUAAAAUGGUUCAGAAAAUUCUAAGGAGGAUAAAUUUAAUGCUAAAAUUAAAACCAGCCAAUAGGUGUGAAAGCAGCUCUUUCUCUGUCAUGGUAAUUCAUGUGCAUAUUAAUAGACCCAAUGAACUAGUGAGUGAAGAGCAAACCUUCUCAACCAAAGCCCAGAGCCAAAACUCCUCUGGACAAGCACCUGCAGUUUGGUUUCACCACUCUAAGAGGUCUUGGAUUGGUAUCUGCAGCACAGGACUAAUGCUGCCUCCUGAUAGCACUGAGUUGUGUCAAGUGUGGUUUACAGGCGCAGCAUGCCAGGCUCUUGUUCAUUGCUGGCAAAAAUGCACAGCUAAUGGUGGUGAUUAUGUUGAAAAAAUAUUGUUUUGUAGCUGAGAAUUUGCUCUACAAAAUAGUGGUAUUGUGCUUUUUGUAUCUGUUGUAGUUUCCACUGAAACAAAUAGUAGCCAUUGCUUUUGGAGUGACCGAUUAUAGUUCAUUAACUAAGUCUAAACGUAAACUCUUGCUUUUAUAGUUAAGACUGGUCUAUUCCCUUACAGUGAAACAAGGUUUAUGUCUUUCCUCUUUAAACAGUACAGUUCUUCAAGGAAUUUAUAUAAAAAUAUUAAUCUGAAAGAUUUAAGGAAUAACAGAUGUAAACUUUUAUUAUAUAAUAAUUAAUUACAGAUGUCAUGCUU